rnacentral:rRNA from 1 species
CCUACGGGUGGCAGCAGUGAGGAAUAUUGGUCAAUGGACGAAAGUCUGAACCAGCCAAGUAGCGUGAAGGAUGACUGCCCUAUGGUUUGUAAACUUCUUUUAUAGGGGAAUAAAGUUAUCCACGUGUGGCUUUUUGCAUGUACCUUAUGAAUAAGGAUCGGCUAACUCCGUGCCAGCAGCCGCGGUAAUACGGAGGAUCCGAGCGUUAUCCGGAUUUAUUGGGUUUAAAGGGAGCGUAGGUUGGUUGUUAAGUCAGUUGUGAAAGUUUGGGGCUCAACCGUAAAAUUGCAGUUGAUACUGGCAGACUUGAGUACAGUAGAGGUAGGCGGAAUUCGUGGUGUAGCGGUGAAAUGCUUAGAUAUCACGAAGAACUCCGAUUGCGAAGGCAGCUUACUAAGCUGUAACUGACACUGAGGCACGAAAGCGUGGGGAUCAAACAGGAUUAGAUACCCUUGUAGUC